CAUAACCUUUAGCUAAACCAGUAUUAAAGGCAACGCCUGCCCAGUGAAUAAUUAAACGGCCGCGGUACCCUAACCGUGCAAAGGUAGCGUAAUCAUUUGUCUAUUAAUUGUAGACCCGUAUGAAAGGCAUAAUGAGGGUUUAACUGUCUCUUUUAGUAUAUCAAUUAAACUGAUCUCCUAGUCCAAAAGCUAGGAUACCAACAUAAGACCAGAAGACCCUGUGAAACUUUAACUAAAAUAUUAAAGCCUAUAAUAACUACUUUAGGUUGGGGCGACCUUGGAAAAUAAAAGAACUUCCACACACAUAUUAUAUAAUAAUAUAUAACCGGCCAACAAGCCUAUAACGACCCAGCACAGCUGAUAAUUGAACCAAGCUACUCCAGGGAUAACAGCGCUAUCUUCUUCAAGAGCCCAUAUCAAAAAGAAGGUUUACGACCUCGAUGUUGGAUCAGGACAUCCUAAUGGUGCAGCCGCUAUUAAGGGUUCGUUUGUUCAACGAUUAAUAGUCCUACGUGAU
rnacentral:rRNA from 1 species